rnacentral:misc_RNA from 1 species
GAUGAAGAACGUAGCGAAAUGCGAUACUUGGUGUGAAUUGCAGAAUCCCGUGAACCAUCGAGUCUUUGAACGCAAGUUGCGCCCGAAGCCAUCAGGUUGAGGGCACGUCUGCCUGGGCGUCACAUAUCGUUGCCCAAUGCCUAUUGCAGUGCAAUAGGAAUUUCUAGGGCGAAUGAUGGCUUCCCGUGAGCGUUGAUGCCUCGCGGUUGGUUGAAAAUCGAGUCCUUGGUAGGGUGUGCCAUGGUAGAUGGUGGUCGAGUUAGAACGAUACCGAUCAUGUGCAUGCUCCCCAAAAUAUGGCCUCUAUGACCCACACGCGUCUUUUGACGCUCAUGACGAGACCUCAGGUCAGGCGGGGCUACCCGCUGAAUUUAAGCAUAUCAAUAAGCGGAGG